AUUGAACGCUGGCGGCAUGCCUUACACAUGCAAGUCGAACGGUAACGCGGGGCAACCUGGCGACGAGUGGCGAACGGGUGAGUAAUGCAUCGGAACGUGCCCAGUAGUGGGGGAUAGCCCGGCGAAAGCCGGAUUGAUACCGCAUACGACCUACGGGUGAAAGGGGGGGAUCGCAAGACCUCUCGCUAUUGGAGCGGCCGAUGUCAGAUUAGGUAGUUGGUGGGGUAAAGGCCUACCAAGCCUGCGAUCUGUAGCUGGUCUGAGAGGACGACCAGCCACACUGGGACUGAGACACGGCCCAGACUCCUACGGGAGGCAGCAGUGGGGAAUUUUGGACAAUGGGCGCAAGCCUGAUCCAGCCAUGCCGCGUGCGGGAAGAAGGCCUUCGGGUUGUAAACCGCUUUUGUCAGGGAAGGAACACUCUGGACUAAUACUCUGGGGUAAUGACGGUACCUGAAGAAUAAGCAUCGGCUAACUCUGUGCCAGCCGCCGCAGUAAAAC
rnacentral:rRNA from 1 species